rnacentral:rRNA from 1 species
UUAAACGUGAGAGUUCGAUCCUGGCUCAGGAUGAACGCUGGCGGCGUGCCUAACACAUGCAAGUCGAACGGAGAAUAUACGCUUCAGAAGCUUCGGCAGAUGAUUGUAUAUUCUUAGUGGCGGACGGGUGAGUAACGCGUGGGUAACCUGCCUCAUACUGGGG